UGAGAACUGGCAGAAGGCGAGACAGAAGACAGAAGAGAGAGAGACCUGCUGUACGAGUCAGUAAGAGACAGAGACAGACAGAGACAAAGACACAGAGUAAGAGACAGAGACAGACAGAGACAGAGACAGAAGAAGAGAGAGAGACCGGCUGUACAAGUCAGUAAGAGACAGAGACAGAGACAGAGAGAGAGACUGAGAAAGAGAAACACAGUCAGAGACAGAGACACAGCCAGAAAUCCAGUCAGCGACACAGUCAGAGUUAGAGACAGAAACACAGUCAGAGACAGAGACACAGUCAGAGACAGAGACACAGAGUCAGAGACACAAUCAGAGUCAGAGGCACAGUCAGAGACAGAGACACAAUUAGAGACACAAUAAGAGACAGAGACACAAUCAGAGACGGAGACACAUUCAGGGUCAGAGGCACAGUUAGAGUCAGAGACACAUUCAGAGACAGAGACAGAGACAGAGAUAAAGAGAGUCAGAGACACAGCCGUGGGAAGACAGUCCUUCGUAGACUCCUCAUUCCCUCCCUCUCAGGCCAAAUGCGGCUCCCAGCAAUUUCUCUGCUUGUGGCUGCUGUGUGCUUGGGCGUCCAGUCGGCAGACCCCUCCCAGUUUCUCCCACUGCCACUCAGAACACUACGAUACAGGAAUGUGGACAGCGCUCCUCCUCCUCUCCCGGUGGACGCUCCGGGUCUCCUUGCCUCCCGUCUGGAAGGAGACUCCCGCAGGCAGGCGGGAGAGCCCUACAACGUGAACUCCUUCGGCCUGCGGUUCGGGAAGAAGAGGGACACCCAGAUCAGCUGGAUCUCGUCCGGCCUGCGCUCCGGGGGGAAGAGGGGGCGCCCGGAGAGGGGGGAGGCGUAGCGGGGCGCCGGCCCGUUCCUCGUCUUCGUCCCCGUGUUCCCCCUGUCCCGGCCGGAAGAGGGCGGGGUCCUUCGGCCUGUGCCCUGCUCUUCCCUCUCGGAGUGGGCGUGUGGCUCCGCCCUG
rnacentral:lncRNA from 1 species